UACGUAGGAUCCGAGCGUUGUCCGGAUUUACUGGGUGUAAAGGGUGCGCAGGCGGACUGGUAAGUCAGGGGUGAAAUCUCGUCGCUCAACGACGAAACUGCCUUUGAUACUAUCAGUCUUGAAUCCGGUAGAGAUCUGUGGAAUUCCGAGUGUAGCAGUGAAAUGUGUAGAUAUUCGGAAGAACACCAGUGGCGAAGGCAGCAGAUUGGGCCGGUAUUGACGCUCAGGCACGAAAGCAUGGGGAUCAAACAGG
rnacentral:rRNA from 1 species